rnacentral:rRNA from 1 species
CGGCUGGAUCACCUCCU